AGGAGGAGCGAAAGCAGCCUCCUGCCCGCUCCGCCGCCUCCUCCCAGGCCCGCCCGGCCUCUUCCUUGCCCUCCGGGGGCUGGGCGGGCGUCGGAAGCAACCGGACCUCCCUCGGCCGGCGCUUCGGCUGCGGAGAAAGAGGCACCCGCCGGGCCGAAAGCAGCGGAGCGGGCCCCGAGUCCAGCGCGGACCGGCGUCCCGGUCGCAGCGCUCCAGCCUCCCGGCCGCCUUCCGUCCCGCGCCUUCCGCAGGAGGAGUAAGAAGGCUGGACUGGAAUGCAUUGGGACAACUGGAAACCAAUGGCCCCUGUGCAUGUCCCCGCAAGCACAUCACCUGUGUUAGCCAUUCAGAGAUGGAUGAUCUCAAGCUGGACCCAGAGCAAAGCUCUCUAAGCCACACUGUUCUUGUAAAACGGCAUUGGUGAAGCCACGUGCUUGGCAGAAAACCUGACACGCCUAAUUGUGUGUGGACUUUGGAGCAGCUUCUCUGCUGGGUUGGGAACACCCAUGUGGGGGGAAAACAGAAGGUUGUGCCCUGCAGGGGUGGGGAUUUCCUCCCUCGGCCACAUUUCCGUUUAUGGGAAAAGCACAUGGCCCUUUCUCCAGAGAUUCGACAGGCUCACCUGACCUGCUGAAGCAUCAUCAAGGGCCCAAUUGAAGGUAGCAUCUAAUGUGAACCCAACCAAUGGUGGUUUACUCAGGAUAAAACAAACCAUGGCUUAAGAAUCUCUUUUGCGUUCGUCUUGCGACCUUGAGAUAAUGGGAGAAAAGCCACCUGAGCUUUCUCAGACAUGGAAAUAUCCAAUUAUCAAUGCUUGCAUUUUUUUUGUUAUAACUUUUUGGGCACCGUUUUAUUUUUCAGGAGCAAGGUCAUGGGGGAGGGGCAUUUGUGUGUGGGUUUAUGUUCCCCAAAUAGUUGGGGAAAUAUGGGUGCGUUGGAAAGAGGAAAGAGUCAGCAUUUUGGGUCCAUUUUUUGGUCAAUAAUAUGGUGACGGCAUCUUGUUCUUCAAGAAUAGCUGAGGACCUUGGAAGGAUCCAGGGGAUAUUUUUAUUUUAUUUAAGAGGCUUUUAAUUUUAAAAAAAAAAAUGAAAUGGGAGAUUGGCUUUCCCAAGGGGGUGACAUCACGCUUACUAAUAAUUCUGAUGAACCCCACCUAAAGCCAGAUUAAUUGUGGCCAGAGAAGAGGUGACCUCAGUUCACCCUUAUGUUGCAAGAUGCAGAAGAAUGAGCCAAAACUGACUCUGCUCUUAAUUUUUCAUCUUUUUCCCAACAAUUGCAUAUUUUGUAUUGAAUGCCGUCCCUUUACUCUCACUUUUCCUCCCCU